rnacentral:lncRNA from 1 species
AGUGAGGUUUCAACCCUAACAAUUGGGUGAAGAGAGUCCCCAGUAAGACGCAGAAGCCUUCUUCCCCUCAACCACGAACUUCACCACAGGUACA